GGAGUUAGCCGGUGCUUCUUCUGUGAGUGAUGUCCUUCCUGCCGGCUAUUAACCCGCAGGCCUUCUUCCUCACUGAAAGUGCUUUACAACCCGAAGGCCUUCUUCACACACGCGGCAUGGCUGGAUCAGGGUUGCCCCAAUUGUCCAAUAUUCCCCACUGCUGCCUCCCGUAGGAGUCUGGGCCGUGUCUCAGUCCCAGUGUGGCUGAUCAUCCUCUCAGACCAGCUACGGAUCGUCGCCUUGGUGAGCCGUUACCUCACCAACCAGCUAAUCCGACAUAGGCUCAUCCGAUAGCGCGAGGCCCGAAGGUCCCCCGCUUUCCCCCGUAGGGCGUAUGCGGUAUUAGCCUGGGUUUCCCCAGGUUAUCCCCCACUACCGGGCAGAUUCCUAUGCAUUACUCACCCGUCCGCCGCUCGCCACCAGGGAGCAAGCUCCCCGUGCUGCCGCUCGACUUGCAUGUGUUAGGCCUGCCGCCAGCGUUCAAUCUGAGCCAGGAUCAACUCUGA
rnacentral:rRNA from 1 species